rnacentral:tRNA from 1 species
CAGUAAAUAGUUUAUUAAAAUAUUAAUUUUGGAGAUUAAAGAUAAGUUUUCUUUUUACUGA